CAUUCCGAACGGUGGAUCACUUGGCUCGUAGAUCGUUGAAGAACGACGUGACACUCGAGAAUUGACGUGAAUUGCAGACACACCGAACUUGAAUACUUUGAACGCACAUUGCAGCGUCGAUCAAAGUUAAGCAUAAUAGCGAAUGCGCCGCUCA
rnacentral:rRNA from 1 species